rnacentral:rRNA from 1 species
GAUGAACGCUAGCGGCAGGCCUAACACAUGCAAGUCGAGGGGCAGCAAGGGUAGCAAUACCUGUUGGCGACCGGCGCACGGGUGAGUAUCGCGUUUGUAACCUACCUUUAACUGGAGGAUAGCCCGAAGAAAUUCGGAUUAAUACUCCAUAAUACUAUGAAUUGGCAUCUUUUUAUAGUUAAAGCUCCGGCGGUUAGAGAUGGGCAUGCGUGGCAUUAGUUUGUUGGUGAGGUAACGGCUCACCAAGACUACGAUGUCUAGGGGGUCUGAGAGGAUGGUCCCCCACACUGAUACUGAGACACGGACCAGACUCCUACGGGAGGCAGCAGUGAGGAAUAUUGGUCAAUGGGCGCAAGCCUGAACCAGCCAUGCCGCGUGAAGGAUGACGGCCCUAUGGGUUGUAAACUUCUUUUGUACGGGAAGAAACACUCCGACGUGUCGGAGCUUGACGGUACCGUGCGAAUAAGCAUCGGCUAACUCCGUGCCAGCAGCCGCAGUAA